rnacentral:rRNA from 1 species
AUGGUUUCAAAUAGUGAAAGGACGGCCUUGCCUGUCACUUAUAGAUGGAUCCGCGCCGUAUUAGCUAGUUGGUAAGGUAACGGCUUACCAAGGCAACGAUACGUAGCCCGACCUGAGAGGGUGAUCGGCCACACUGGAACUGAGACACGGUCCAGACUCCUACGGGAGGCAGCAGUAGGGAAUCUUCCGCAAUGGGGCGAAAGCCUGACGGAGCAAACGCCGCGUGAGUGAUGAAGGUCUUCGGAUCGUAAAACUCUGUUAUCAGGGAAGAACAAAACGUGUAAGUAACUGUGCACGUCUUGACGGUACCUGAUCAGAAAGCCACGGCUAACUACGUGCCAGCAGCCGCGGUAAUACGUAGGUGGCAAGCGUUAUCCGGAAUUAUUGGGCGUAAAGCGCGCGUAGGCGGUUUUUUAAGUCUGAUGUGAAAGCCCACGGCUCAACCGUGGAGGGUCAUUGGAAACUGGAAAACUUGAGUGCAGAAGAGGAAAGUGGAAUUCCAUGUGUAGCGGUGAAAUGCGCAGAGAUAUGGAGGAACACCAGUGGCGAAGGCGACUUUCUGGUCUGUAACUGACGCUGAUGAUGCGAAAGCGUGGGGAUCACAAGGAUGAGAUACCCUGGUAGUCCACGCCGUAAACGAUGAGCGCUAAGAAGUUAGGGGGUUUCCGCCCCCCCCUUAGUUGCUGGCAGCUUAACGCAUUUAAAGCACUCCCGCCUGGGGGGGAGUACGACCCGCCAAGGGUUGAAAUCUCCAAAAGGAAAUUGACCGGGGACCCGCACAAGCGGUGGAGCAUGUGGUUUAAUUCGAAGGCAACGCGAAGAACCUUACCAAAUCUUGACAUCCUUUGACCGCUCUAGAGAUAGAGUUUUCCCCUUCGGGGGACAAAGUGACAGGUGGUGCAUGGUUGUCGUCAGCUCGUGUCGUGAGAUGUUGGGUUAAGUCCCGCAACGAGCGCAACCCUUAAGCUUAGUUGCCAUCAUUAAGUUGGGCACUCUAAGUUGACUGCCGGUGACAAACCGGAGGAAGGUGGGGAUGACGUCAAAUCAUCAUGCCCCUUAUGAUUUGGGCUACACACGUGCUACAAUGGACAAUACAAAGGGCAGCUAAACCGCGAGGUCAAGCAAAUCCCAUAAAGUUGUUCUCAGUUCGGAUUGUAGUCUGCAACUCGACUACAUGAAGCUGGAAUCGCUAGUAAUCGUAGAUCAGCAUGCUACGGUGAAUACGUUCCCGGGUCUUGUACACACCGCCCGUCACACCACGAGAGUUUGUAACACCCGAAGCCG